rnacentral:lncRNA from 1 species
GUCGUUCCUUCCUUCGCCGCGGGAGGGAGCCGCCGCCCACCCGCCGUUUCUCCCUUUGCCGCGGGAGGGAGCCGCCGCCCCCCGCCAUUCCUCCCUUGGCCGCGGGAGAGAGCCGCCCCCCGCCGUUCCUUCUCUCGCCGCGGGAGAGAGCCGUCGUGCCCUUCGCCGCGAGAGUUGAGCUUCAGCUUGGCCUCCGCACCGAUGUUCCUCUUAUGCUUCCCGUCGGCCACAAGUAAGUUUCUUGUACACUGAAGCUCAACUGUUCCUAAUCUGCAGACUACAGACGACCUACCUUUUUGCGUUCUGAUGAAUUUUGGCCCUCUUAGACUUUGUUCCACAUUUGCCUUGCAUUUCAACCAAAGGGAUUGAGUUGCCUUUCAACCAAAGGAAUUGAUACAAAUGCAUUGUGAACAACUAGGUGGUAACAAAGGGAUUGAUACAAAUGCAUUGUGAACAACUAGGUGGUAACAGAACAUCAAUUGAAGUGGGAAGAUGGGGCAGCGGCGGCAUGCUAUACUGUCUUGGGCUCCCGUCCCCUGUCGUAAUCAAAUCACAACCAUUGUUGGUGAGGCUUCAGUUAACAUUCCCAUCUUCCUAGCCACUACAACGAUAAUCGGGUAACUAUGAGUCAUCAAACUGAAGUUGGCUUCUUCAUCUGUAUUUCUUAGAUGUGUGCCGAGAUAGUAGCGAGGCUUUGUUCUUAUUUCUAAUAAUUAGAUGCAGAUAUUUAGACAUUUGCUUCAGUGAUUACAAACUGAAGAAUGUGGACUGAUUUGUUAAUUUAAUUGUCAAAUUUGGUGUUGUCGGAUUUCUAUUUGUAGGUUAAUAUUCAGUGCAUGAGAAGCAUGUAUUGUGUCAUUUUCUUCUGUCAAUAUUCAGUUUGAACCAAUUAGGCGACCAAUUUGUGCUAAUUUCUAUUCAUACGUGGUCUCUGUGUAUAGAGGCUCCAAGAAAGAAGGAUGGGUGUGUAAUACGUAGUCAUGUAUUGGUUCAUUCUUUUCCACUUACAAAUGUUUUAAGAAAUCAACUAGCCUGCUUCGAAGCUGGGGACCCAUGAGUGUUAUUGUGCAAUUCCAGCUUCCAGAUUAUAAUGAGGAUCAUGGAGCUGUAGGUAGAAUGCAAUGACUUACAGUAAUGUCUACUGACUUGGCAAGAGGUUUCUUAUCAAACUAUUCACAUCUUAUUUAUAUUGUCCAUGCUAUUUGAAGGUGAAUAACUAUCUUUCAGAAUUGUGUACAUUUGGUAAAUUAUUAUUGUCCCUACGAAGCGACUUUCAGUUUAUAUAGAGAAAUUAUUUUAUGACACUACAUGAUUAAGGGAGAACAUACAUACGAUUGGGGAAAAAAAAGCAUGGGGUGACGACAAAUGGGUGCCUCUCUCAGAAGGGAUCAGGUGGAGGCUCACCGGCUGCAGCGAUGGCCACUAGCGUGAGCUGUGAAGCGCGUGGAGGCGAGAGCCUCAUGGCCUGUUGAUACGGCGCAUAAUUGCAACCCUCCAAUUCAUGUAAGUUUGUUGAUUGUGUUCUCAGUUGUCUAAGUUGUUAUAGACGCGGAUAGUGUGCAAAAUGGUGGAAUGGAAAGACCAAUAUUCUGACAGUGUGUGAGAGAUUUAUACUGAUACUAAAUUGCUAGCUGCUUGCUGAUGGGAAGCUAUCAUUGAUAGAGCAUUCAGUUGGGGGCUUACGCUCACGCAAGUACAUGGAGGAAUUCGAGACGCCUGACCUAAGUUUACUACUCCCUCCACUUAAAUGAAUAAGGCGCACACACAUUUCAAAAUCUAACUUUGGCCAUCAAUUUAACAGCCGGGGGUAUUCCUCCUUUUCGUAAAAAAAUCAAUUUAACAAACCAAAUGUGGGUUAUACCUAAUAAAAGUUAUACCGUUGAGCUCAUUUUUGAGAAAAAAUUAGUACUGCCUUCGUGCGGAAAUACUUAUCGCUAAAUGGAUGUAUCUAAACAUAUUUCAGUUCUAGAUACAUCCGUUCGAGUGACAAGAAUUUCCGGACGGAGGGAGUAGUAUAAUUUUCAAGUCACAUAAGUUGCUUGAUCUCUCCCUACUCCAUGUUAAAGAAUUCUGAUUCAGCCGAUUCCCCUGCUGAAUGCUUGUGUUUCGUACUUUCAUUUAAGUUGCCUCUUAAAAAUAAGUGUACUGUCUUUUGUGUUCCACAUAUCACAUUUGAUUUGAUCUCUGUGGGGCAGAAUAAAUACUGUAUGUUUUACAUGUGGGUUGAUGCACAGAAGUCAUUUGCUGCACGUCUUUAUUCCUACAAGCUUUACUAUUAUAACUUGAUAGCAUGUGGAAUUUUGGAUAAUUGCAGCGCCUCACCCCGCUCCACUCCAUGCCAGCCCCACAGUCAUGUUAUUGAACAUUGGAGAGAAACCGAGCACCACUUUUCACUUGAAUUAGAAACACCAAAGGUUUGGGAUUAUGCUCGUGACGACUAUGUCCAUCAUGUAUCGUGUCCAAAGCAGAUGGUAUGUGUUCAUAUGUAAUGGUGGUGCAGUAAUGGAUCAAGCUCUAUUGAACAGGAAAGUUAAGCUGUAAUCUAUGGUAUGUUUCUGUAUAUUUUCUUUUACAAACGUGCUACUUCUCUUCUUUUAGAUUGUUGGAUAGUACAAUGAUCUGGUCAACGUUUAUUACCAGCUUAUAAGUUCAUUGUGACUCUGGUUUUGUGCUAAUGUAGUACUGAUAUGAGUCACUUCUGCUAGAAAUCAAAGAGAAUUAAAUGUAAGUUUCUGCUACUGCA